rnacentral:rRNA from 1 species
UACAGGGGGGGCAAGCGUUGUUCGGAAUUACUGGGCGUAAAGGGUCUGUAGGUGGCCAACUAAGUCAGACGUGAAAUCCCUCAGCUUAACUGGGGAACUGCGUCUGAUACUGGAUGGCUUGAGUGUGGGAGAGGAAUGCGGAAUUCCAGGUGUAGCGGUGAAAUGCGUAGAUAUCAGGAGGAACACCUGUGGCGAAGGCGGCUCACUGGACCAUAACUGACGCUGAUGCACGAAAGCUAGGGGAGCAAACAGG